AUGUGUCCAAUGGAGUUAAAUGGUCCUCCAUUUGGUCAACCAACAACUCCAGCACCUGUUGAGCAAUCUCAUGUGCAAGUGCCCACACAAGAUGAGUUUGAUGACAUAGACAAGCUCACAUUGCUUAGUCUCGAGUUCACUUGGAGUGCUGAAGAUGAUCCAAUUAGGCCGGUGAUACUAGAUGAAAUGAAGAAGAUCAAGAGUGGAAAGGAACUAGUCGAAGAAGUAAGGAAGAUUGAGAAGAACAUCAAUGCUGGUAGCACUAUUUCUUCACAGCUAGAGCUGAGUAUUUCUGGGAUAUCCUUUGAUACAUGUGAGGUUCCAACACCAUCACAUCCAGCUGAGCAAGAUAGCAAGAGUCCAGAGGAAGAGAGACCUCAGAUUGAAGAUGAACUAGAAGACAAGGAACAAGAUGAUCAAGAGCUGCAAUUUCCAAGUGAUCAAGUUGAAGACUCAUCAUCUACUACUCCUGAAGAAUUACUUUCCUCGUGCUAG
rnacentral:rRNA from 1 species